rnacentral:rRNA from 1 species
AAACGACAUCGAAAGCUUGCUUUUGAUGGGCGUCGACCGGCGCACGGGUGAGUAACGCGUAUCCAACCUGCCCACCACUUGGGGAUAACCUUGCGAAAGUAAGACUAAUACCCAAUGACGUCUCUAGAAGACAUCUGAAGGAGAUUAAAGAUUUAUCGGUGAUGGAUGGGGAUGCGUCUGAUUAGCUUGUUGGCGGGGUAACGGCCCACCAAGGCGACGAUCAGUAGGGGUUCUGAGAGGAAGGUCCCCCACAUUGGAACUGAGACACGGUCCAAACUCCUACGGGAGGCAGCAGUGAGGAAUAUUGGUCAAUGGACGAGAGUCUGAACCAGCCAAGUAGCGUGCAGGAUGACGGCCCUAUGGGUUGUAAACUGCUUUUAUAAGGGAAUAAAGUGAGAGUCGUGACUCUUUUUGCAUGUACCUUAUGAAUAAGGACCGGCUAAUUCCGUGCCAGCAGCCGCGGUAAUACGGAAGGUCCGGGCGUUAUCCGGAUUUAUUGGGUUUAAAGGGAGCGUAGGCCGGAGAUUAAGCGUGUUGUGAAAUGUAGAUGCUCAACAUCUGAACUGCAGCGCGAACUGGUUUCCUUGAGUACGCACAAAGUGGGCGGAAUUCGUGGUGUAGCGGUGAAAUGCUUAGAUAUCACGAAGAACUCCGAUUGCGAAGGCAGCUCACUGGAGCGCAACUGACGCUGAAGCUCGAAAGUGCGGGUAUCGAACAGGAUUAGAUACCCUGGUAGUCCGCACGGUAAACGAUGGAUGCCCGCUGUUGGUCUGAAUAGGUCAGCGGCCAAGCGAAAGCAUUAAGCAUCCCA